rnacentral:rRNA from 1 species
AACCGCGGUUAUACGAAAGGCCUAAGUUGAUGAAACGCGGCGCAAAGAGUGGUUAGGAUACCAUUCAAUUAAAGCUACACCCCCUCCUGGCCGUUGUAAGCCUAUGAGACUCUGAGACACAACUACGAAAGUGGCUUUAUACUCCUGAUCCCACGAAAGCUAGGAAA